rnacentral:rRNA from 1 species
AACGACUCUCGGCAACGGAUAUCUCGGCUCUCGCAUCGAUGAANAACGC